AAUUGUAUAGUUACUGUUUCGAGAAAGACAAAUCUGUCCAUUUCUUAUUAUUGUGUUUCUACCUGAUGCUGUGACUGAGCUGAAGGGUUUUUGGAAUAAUGCCAGGGCUACUAAUAAAAUAUACAGUGUGGUACUAUAUUGUACUUGAAGGGGCAUCUCAGGUCACCCAAGAUAAUCUGACAGAGAAUUGAAGCAAACAGGGAUAAACAGCAACAACUCUACCUUCAAUAGUACCUGAUUAGAUGGAUUUGGAACGCAUCAACGGGGCCAAAAGUUCUGGUAAAAAUAAGAUUUGUAACUGAAAAAUAUGAAAUUUUGAGUUUUGAAACCUAAAAACAGAAGAUUUGAAGUUUAUUUUUGAAUAGCAAAAAGUUUUUGACAUUUUUAUAUAUAUUUUUUGACCUAACACCAAUAUUUUUUUUCAAUUGAAUUUAUUAAGCUCCAUAAAAGAGAGAUCCGGGGGAUUUAACCCUGUCUGAUGUGCCAGCAAAUACAAUCGAAACAUCCAAAGGAAGCACUGGUUUUUCUCAUCUUGAGUGUCAAUUUUAUUUUUUUCUUUCACAAGAAUGAGAGUGGCUUCAGUCAUACUUUAAUUAAAAAAAAAAAAGAGAGCUGAUCCAGACAGGGUGCCAUGCCCGGGGGUCUAGGUCCAGCGCCUGGCUCAGUGCUGCGGGUUGUAUUGCGUAAUUAUCACGUGUUUCUGUCAUGUUGCCUGAUACCUGAUACCUGUGACGUCAUAUUGUGUUGCGUGUAAUAUUGUGUUGUAGCAUUCAAAUCACAGCAUGAGACGCAUUCUGCCGGUCCACCUAGUCCACUCUCACGGGUUGCGCCCUGUCCAACCAACUCUCCCGAUAGCAGCAUUAUCGCUCAGCGGUAUUUAUAGUAGGCGUGUCAAGCUACCUUGCAAACUAAUGGUUUCACUUCCGGUGCGCUUUAAAUUGCAGUGUGCUUUGGCAAACAUGAACUAUAUACUAUAUAUUGCUUGUAAAUAAAAUAUAAAGAAAGGUAAAUAUAACUUUGAAAGGUUUUUCUUUACCACAGAUACAUUUUGAGUGGUGCAUGGUGGGAAAUGUCUGACGUAAUUGGUCACGUGACAUACGGUGUGACAGACUGGCGGCAUAACUGUGCUACUACUGUCUAAAUUGAGCACUGCGUCUUUAAAUAGUAACUGUCGUACCGGUCAUGUUGCCGGGUACCGGUGGGGCGGGGACAGAGUUAAACUCUUUGGGAAUAAUUUUUUCAGCUGUAAAAUUUUAGAGAUUUUUGUGGACAAACGGGCUCCUGGACAUGAACGAGACUUUAGUGAUUGCGCAACGAGGAGUCCGACUGAAUGACGGCGAUGACAAGGCAAAAAUGGAAGUUGGUGUUGUCAUGUUGAGCACACACUGGUUUAUCUGGAGGGACACCAAGAACCACGAAUGAUGCACAGAUAUCCUCUGUCUCAGAUCAUCUUCUUUGAGGAGCAGGCUGGAGGAAUAGGAAAGAGGACCAUAUAGGGGUUCACUUCAUCCUGUCGCUUACUGUUCCUGUAGUUUGGACCCAGUGGCGGCUGGACUACCGCGCUGUCUCAGCACAAUCGCCGCAGCGGAAAAGACCCAAACAGCAUCCAGCAACCUGGUUGGCUACUCCCCUCUCACAUUCUUGGUAUCACACAAGCGCCUCAUUUUGCCUGACCACAGAUCAUGACAUUUCUCUCUGCCUACAUUCAUCAGAUAUCAUGCCUGUUUGCUAGAGCUGCCGAAUGUUACUGUUAAAGGAUGUUCGGUUCUGAAUCUUGCUACUCUCCUGUCUACCCCUGACGAAAAAAUCUUUUGCGCUUAGAGGAGUUGGUUUUGGGGCCGUAUGGAAAUGGAUGGAUAUUUUUCUCAAAACUGUAAUGGAAAUGGACUUUUUUCUAAUUAAAUGCGCUUCUGAAGUGUCUGUCCGAGUACACCACAGCGGGCGCUACGACAGAUCCCACAGCGUCACAGCUAAUCGUGCAUCUCCUCUGUAAAAUUAAUAAAAAGAUUUCCUCAUGGCUUCAUCUGUAGCCGACCUUCUGCAGCUGGCAGCCUAAAUACGACAAAGGAAGUCUCCUUUGAGGAUCAGCACGAGUGCAGUGACACACUUCAAUGGAUCUAGUCGCGUUUUCAAAAAUAAAAAUGUUCCAGCUGCUUACUUGUUAAGGACAUUCUUUUAAAUAUCACUGAACAGACUUCUCACUUGUAUCUGAGACUGUCAAUGGACUCGCUGCGUGAGCCAGCGUGCCACGCGCGCACCACACUGUGUUGACGUCACCCAAAUGCUCCUUUUUUAGUGGAUCAAAUUAAAAAAAAGCACACGCAUCGCCGUGUUUUUAAUGA